rnacentral:rRNA from 1 species
ACGGGUGAGUAACACGUGGGAACGUACCCUUUGGUUCGGAAUAACGCUGGGAAACUAGCGCUAAUACCGGAUACGCCCUUUUGGGGAAAGGCUUGCUGCCGAAGGAUCGGCCCGCGUCUGAUUAGCUAGUUGGUGGGGUAAUGGCCUACCAAGGCGACGAUCAGUAGCUGGUCUGAGAGGAUGAUCAGCCACACUGGGACUGAGACACGGCCCAGACUCCUACGGGAGGCAGCAGUGGGGAAUAUUGGACAAUGGGCGCAAGCCUGAUCCAGCCAUGCCGCGUGAGUGAUGAAGGCCUUAGGGUUGUAAAGCUCUUUUGUCCGGGACGAUAAUGACGGUACCGGAAGAAUAAGCCCCGGCUAACUUCGUGCCAGCAGCCGCGGUAAUACGAAGGGGGCUAGCGUUGCUCGGAAUCACUGGGCGUAAAGGGCGCGUAGGCGGCCAUUCAAGUCGGGGGUGAAAGCCCGUGGCUCAACCACAGAAUUGCCUUCGAUACUGUUUGGCUUGAGUUGGUAGAGGUUGGUGGAACUGCGAGUGUAGAGGUGAAAUUCGUAGA